AUUGAGCGCUGGCGGCAGGCUUAACACAUGCAAGUCGAGCGGAGAUGAGGUGCUUGCACCUUAUCUUAGCGGCGGACGGGUGAGUAAUGCUUAGGAAUCUGCCUAUUAGUGGGGGACAACAUUCCGAAAGGAAUGCUAAUACCGCAUACGUCCUACGGGAGAAAGCAGGGGAUCUUCGGACCUUGCGCUAAUAGAUGAGCCUAAGUCGGAUUAGCUAGUUGGUGGGGUAAAGGCCUACCAAGGCGACGAUCUGUAGCGGGUCUGAGAGGAUGAUCCGCCACACUGGGACUGGGACACGGACCAGACUGCUACGGGAGGCAGCAGUGGGGAAUAUUGGACAAUGGGGGGAGCCCUGAUCCAGCCAUGCCGCGUGUGUGAUGAAGGCCUUAAGGUUGUAAAGCACUUUAAGCGAGGAGGAGGCUACUGAGACUAAUACUCUUGGAUAGUGGACGUUACUCGCAGAAUAAGCACCGGCUAACUCUGUGCCAGCCGCCGCGGUAACAC
rnacentral:rRNA from 1 species